AUGGGCUCUAGAUUUUUCCCUACGCUCCCCACCCACCAUCCAGUACCUGCUAUCAGCCAACUGCAGCGUGUCCAGCAGACCAGAGAGCAGGCGAAGGAAAGCCUCCCUCCACCUGGUUCCCGCUGUGCACCCCGAGCCUGCGUGGCCGCGGGGAGGCCGUGGCUCUUCUUUGGGCCUCUGCCCCCACCCCCCCCACCCCCCCCGCCUUGUGCUCAGGGAUUAAGAAGCACUGCGUUUGCAGAGGGAGAAAGGCGCCACAUAGAUUCCCAGGGUGAUUACUGGGCUUUGCCACCAAACGGCUUUCCUCGCGUCCUCUCUACCUGGCCCUCGGCCCCCGGCCCCUCCCCGCUCGGCCAUCUGUCUCUCUGUGUGUGGACAGGGCCUGGACGGGAGCUGCAGCCUGGGGUGAUGGGGGGGCGGGGGGCUGGAUGGGAACUGCAGCCUCAGGGGCAAGGACAGGGUCUGGACGGGGCUGCGGCCUCGGAGGGGGUGGGGGCUGGACAGGGCAUGGACUGGAGCUGCAGCCUGCAGGGGGCUGGACCAGUGGGGUGGGGUGCUGGACGGGAACUGUGGCCUCAGGGGCAGGGACAGGGCCUGGAUGGGAGCUGCGGCCUCAGGGGCAGGGACAAGGGGCUCCACAAGAGGAGGCGGGGGUGGGGGGAGGCCACCCCGCUGUCCUCCAUCAGCCACCUCCCGCCCCUGUCGGCCUUGCCCAGCCUGAAGCCAGAGGACAGAAACCUCUGCCUAUGCGCAGCAGGUGGCUCAGCCUCCUGGGGCACCGGAGGCCUGGAGGGAUACACCCAGAUGCCCUGCGGCCUUCACCUGCGGGGGCCCUGCCUGGAACUGGGGGGUGGAGGGGUGACUGGGAGGGGCCAGCUGCACAGACAGCAGCGGCGGGGCACAGGGCUUUGCGGGGCUACAGGCCCGAGACCUGAGGAGGAGCACACUGGGCGCCGGGGCCCUGCCGGUGCUUCUGGGCCGCCGCGGCCACAGGUGCCAGGACGUGUGGCUGCGGCCCCCUUGCGGCCUCCUCCGGCCUGCGGCCCUCGUGGCACCUUCAGCCCCGGUGCUCUCCCCUUCCGUCCACCACUCCCCUCCCUUCCCUGGGACCCGAGGGCCCCGUGGAGCCUUCUUCAGGCCCAACCGGGUCAUGGCCCAGAAGCUACAGAGCGGCUCCUACACCCAAAUGGCAGGAUCCAGCGUUUUCCCAAGUUCUGCAGAGGCCGCAGGGCCGGGGAGCCAAGCAGGGGCUGGAAUGGGGAGACUGAGGCAGCGGGGCCCGAGUCACUAGGGAGAGACGUGGGCGGCGGGGAAGGCAAGGAAGAGCCAUGCCAAGCACAGGAGGGCCCUGCACCCCACCCCCCGCUGCGUUGUGUGCUCUGCGGCAACACGAUCAGGGUCCUAAGGGGAUGA
rnacentral:lncRNA from 1 species